AUGGUACUUUUAUCAGAAUAUGGAGGAAACACAUAAAUAUAAUUAAAAAGAAAAGAGGAACCAGAAAAUCCUCUUUUUCUGAAUACAAAACAAGAAUUUAAAUGACUCGAAUGAAUAAUCCCUGGGUAUCAAUGCUGUUAAAUGCAGAAAUAAGCAGAGAUGCAUCACAUUAGAACUGAUGGAAGAUUUGCUGGUAACUUUCAAAUGAGAAGAUGAAGGUAGGAAAUUAUCGUAUCACUGAACUCAAGAACUCUAUCCACAACUCUAGCCUUGGCUUAAUGUUGUAGACUGUUAUUUGCAGCAUAUUCCUGUUAGAUAAACAAAAUCUCUGUGCUUUGGAGGAUGACAGACUCAAAGAUUUGAGUUUCAUAUUAGAGAACUGGAUGAUAACUUCAGGACUAUUUUCUAUCUUAAAGCUAACCUGAGCUUAUGCUGAAUUUAUAGAAGUGCUCUGGGAAUGUUUUCUACCACAAACCCUUUCUCAUCUGUGUCUCCAUACUUAUUUGGCAUCACAGUGCAAUAAAGAGCCCUGGUUUGGAUGUCACCCUUGACUAUAAUAUAAAGAUAAGAAGAGCAACCUUGUCAGGUGGUGUAAGGAUCAAGGGAAGUGACAUAAAGCACCCAGAACAGGGCCUGGCUCAACAGAGCGCUGUUUUCCUUAGGCAUUAAAUAAUUCAAUGCCUUUUGAAAUCAUAGCUCUGUGUUUUGGGCUUUUUAUAUUGCAUUUUUAAAAGGAGAGGUGUCAGUUUGGUUUGGUUUGAGAUAGCAAUUCCAACAUUGAUACAUACUAGCUGUGGAAACUGGACAAAAUAUGUAAUCCAUUUGGGCCUUUGUUUCUUCAUCUGUAAAAUGGGAUAAUACCUCCCUUAUAAACCUGUUGUAAGAAUUAGGUUUUCUAAUACAUGUAAAGCACUUAGCACUAUACCUAGUGUUUAUCAAGUACUCAAUAAAUUAUACUAGUAUUAGACGAUACUUUAGUUUUAUUAUAGCCUUCCCACAAUCACUUGGUAGCAUAUAAGAGAUCCACUAUUUUUUUUUUUUUUUUGAG
rnacentral:lncRNA from 1 species